GUCAUGGGCUUGGAUGAGAAGAGGCAGGAUGGAGGCAGGCAGAAAGUUGAGCUCUGUGUGUUGCUCCAGCCAAGGAGAGCGAUGGAGGCUGCAUUCCAGCUUGCGCCUGAACGCACAGGAGGGAGGCCACCACCCACCAGCUAUUCGGGUGGGAAGCUGCAGCCCGUCUGCUCUGGCUGAAUUCCGGGUCUGUCUCUGGGUCACUGAGUGGGCUGGGGUGAGUGGGCGGCAGGGCAGAGGGCAGAGCUGUACCACCUGGACCAGCCAAUCCUCAUCCCUUGGGCAGAGACAUCCCUAGGACUUGUCCCAGUUCCUGGGGAAUGCAGAGGCAGAUGUGCUUCAGGGGGAGGAAGCCGGUGGAGAUGGGGGCAGGGGGGACACCCUGAACUGCUCCCACAUAUCCCCCAGUCCUCUAGCCCUCCUUGUCCGACUCUACUGUUCCCUGUGUAUUAGCUGAGAAACGUGGCAUACAAAUGUCUAGGUGCCAGCCUGACAGUUCCUGAGAGUAGAGGCAAGCAGAUUCCAAAGGUGGGGUGGGGGUGGCCAGGAGUGGGGUGGUAUCCCCAUAGCUGUGGAAAUCAGACUAGGAAUGAGGAAGGUGAGGACAAGGCCCUGAACACCUGAAGACCAGCGGCCUGAAGGAACCACAGACACAGCCUGGGGACUACUACACCAGGGACCACUGCCUGGGCUAGAGGCAGCAGGGCUUGGCAGGCCUGGAUGGCUAUCUUGAGCAACUCCAAGAUAGCUCACCCAUUUCCACCUCCUUUCUCCUAGCCAAGGUGGGCAGAGGAGGAAUUCUUCAUUUCAAGCAGCCUGUCCCAGAGAGCUGGGAAUGGACACACUUCUCCUGAGAGCUCCAGUAUCCUGGAGGCCAGCCCAGAGUUUCCCUGGUUUGGAAGAGGUAUCAGCCCAGGGCCAGUAUGGCCUGCAGCAUGGCCAGUGAGGUCCCUGCCCGUUGCUGGACAUUGGCAGGCCUGCAUGGAUAUUGACAUCAGUGCCUCAUCCAAUCAUGGAGCCGUCUCCACGGAACCCACCCAGCCUCCAUCAGAGUGACAGUCUCUCAGGGUCACAUGAGUCUGCCCGGCACUUUAUCUGGCCUUCAUCCAUCUAGAAGGAGGAUUACCUGGUUUCUUUUCUUUAAUAUUUCUUUAUUGCAUUGUUUGGAUCAGAAGACACUUUCGGGGUCAGUCCUUCUGCCAUGUGGGUUCUAAACCUCAAACUCAGGUUGAAACAUUCCACCUUGCAGGGGAGCUCCUUAAACAAGAAGGUAUACAACUCAAAAUAUCUCCAGGAAGACCCUGAACCUGACCAGAUUCACUAGGUCCCCCUCCCUGCCAGAGUAAACUAUAAACACCGAGAGUCCCUCUUAGGCCAAAGAAGAUGAGCUGCAAAGAAAACUCCUCAGAGGACAAAAGCUGCAAAGAAGAUUCUACGACCAGACCGGCUGGCUGCCUGGAAGAAGCAGAGACUGUGCAUCCUACAGCUACAAGGAGAAAGACCACUGACCCAAAUCGUGGCUGAAUUAGUGAAAACAGGCUUCAUUCAUGUAGACAGAAGGGUCGCAGAAGACCACAUAGUCCUGGGUGUUAGAGGAUGAAGCUUCAGCUCCCAGCAGAGAAACUCCGCUGCAGGAAUGUGACAGUGGGGCCUGAACACAGACUUCAGACACAGAUGGUGACCUUCAAAGCCACCCAAGGUUAUAGAAUGAAGAAGGUAGUUUCGGAGCACCAAGGGGUUCUGGGUAACUGGGUAACUGCUGCCUUUGAAGGGAAUGCCGGCAGGGGGCUAAGCAGUGGCCUCCUCAGAUGCUCAUCUGCUGUACCCUUGGUUCACUCAGAAGACCUGGUCUCAGGCCAUUGAGGAAGCUUAGGAGGUAAAGAACCUGCAGUUAAGCUUGACAGCCUGAGUUUGAGACACAAGACCCACAUGGUGGAAGGCGAGAGCCAACUUCUGCAGCUUACUUAGUCUCUGACCUCCACAGGUGCACACACCACACACACACACACACA